CUGCCUCUCCAUGGAGGUGAGCAGCUUACUCUUCUCUCUGAAGGCGGCAUCAUCAGCCACCACCAUGUUCCUCUUCACCAUCCCGGCUCCCUGAGACGACCACUCAGCAGGCCACGCUCUCUCCAUGCUGACAGUUACCUCGCCGCUGCCCUCUCUGGGGCAAAGAGCCACGCCUCCCUCAUCACUCCCGCCUUGCUGUCGGCUGCUGCUCCGAGGCUGGGCGCUGACAUCAUUUGAAUGCUCCAAUCACGGAGAGAGAUGGAGGGGAAGAGGACAUCCCAGUCGUCUCGCUUAGGUUCCUCUGAGUCGUCAUUUACACCAGGAAGCAGACUAUCAAGUUGGACUUCUGAGGUCAGAGGUCAGCCGUCAUCCAAGCAGAGAAAUGUUGCCCGAAGAACCACCAAGGAACUAACCACAGCAGCAGAAAUGACUCUCUGAAGUCAGGUGUUCUAUUAACCAGAAGAGGGUGAAGGGAAGAAGCCUGGAUACUUCAGUGCACACCAAAGGACAAAGACAAAGUAGCAAGCUAGUGUGCACUGUGCAGGUCAGGAAAAUGUUUAUGUGUUGCUUAGCAACAGUCCAGUAUCAGUCCAGUUGAAGAACUAUUUGUGUUGGCAUUGCCAAAUAAAUGAUGAAAAAAACAAACAAAUCAUAAUCUGUUGUUGCUAAUUUAACUAACAUGGUGCUCAGAGAACUGUUGUGCAAAGGGUCGUGAUGUUGUACUGAAUAUCAGCUGUGAAUGUCUUCGGAAAAUAAUGAAUUGUAAAUAAAUGA